rnacentral:rRNA from 1 species
UACGGGGGGAGCAAGCGUUGUUCGGAUUUACUGGGCGUAAAGGGCGCGUAGGCGGUCAGCACAAGUCAGUUGUGAAAUCUCCGGGCUUAACUCGGAAAGGUCAAUCGAUACUGCGGGGCUAGAGUGCAGAAGGGGCAACUGGAAUUCUCGGUGUAGCGGUGAAAUGCGUAGAUAUCGAGAGGAACACCUGCGGCGAAGGCGGGUUGCUGGGCUGACACUGACGCUGAAGCGCGAAAGCUAGGGGAGCGAACGGG